rnacentral:piRNA from 1 species
UUGGUUAAGUUCUUGGCCUCUCCAUAGUCCU